UUCAGCUUUGCAUCAUAGGAAUAAAUUACAACAAUUAGAAAAUAUAUUCAAAUGAAUGUUCAGAUGAUGCACAGAGCAGGUCACCCCAAAGACUGUCUUAUUCCACCAUAACAUCACACCAGGCACUGCGGUGUGAGUCCUGCGGGACUGCCAUCCUCCAGCGUCACUGGGGUCAGAGUAUCCCUUGCCUCCACCUCCAGCCUCUGAGGCCCAGACUCCACCUCGGCCCGUAGACCCAGCGGCUCCACCUAGGCUCCUAGCUCCCUCGCUUCCAGCGUCACCUGUCAAUUCAUCAGCUCUGCCUUGGUCGGGCGUUGACCCACCGUCACCUCUGGACUCCUCUGGCUGCACCUUGUCGCUCUGCCCCACUGGCUCCUUAGGGCUCCUUCCUCCCGCCAGCUCCACCUUGCUCCUCAGUCUCUCUGGGUCUGCCACAGAUCUCCGCCUCGGUCACCAGAGCCCUCAGCUCCACCCUGACCUCGGCAUCCCCUUGGCACGUUGUCGCGCCGUCUCUGCUUUGGGCUCCUCCUCCCUGGCUCCUCCCUCCAUUGGCUCCUCCUUCCUUUGGCGCCCUCCUGGUCUCUGUCUACCUCCCAAGUUCCCACCCACGCCUCCCUCUGUUACUACAGUGUGAGGACGCACCUUUCAGGAGGGGGCAUUAUGUCAGGACUAUGGACUAUUAUGUGUGUGUUUUUUGCCCCUGUAACCCAGUUUCUGUCUCCCAUUGAUUGUUGAUUUGAUCCCAGGUGUGUCUCCUUAGUUCCCUCGUUAUCCUGAGUUUAAAAGCCCUAGUCUACUGAGUUCAUGUUUGUAGGGUCUACUCGUUGUCUACGUGUGUCUUCCAAUCUCCUUGUGUGGAUUAUUCUUUUGUGAUUCCUGGAUUAAAGACUAUAAAUGUUUCCCUCAUGCUCUGUACUACAGCGUAGUGUGACACAUACGUAAUUAUUUAAUGUAAAACACAUUUGUCUUGUUUUUUUUUCUGUGUUCUCCAUAUCUUUACAUUUUAUUAUAUGUUGUUGUUGUUGUU
ensembl:lncRNA